CAUAUACUCCCUCCGUUCCGAAUUACUUGUCUCGGAAAUGGAUGUAUCUAGAACUAAAAUACAUCUAGAUACAUCCAUUUCUGUGACAAGUAAUUCCGAACGGAGGGAGUAGCAU
rnacentral:pre_miRNA from 1 species